CCUCCUUCUCCUCCUCCUCCCCCCACCUCCCCCACCUCCCAUCUCAGCUGCGGCUAAAACCUGGAGUCUUGGGGAAAAGGAGAAGAAAAAAAAAAAAAAAAAACUCGGCUGUGAAGCUGUCAAACCGGGCAUGCUCAGUA
rnacentral:sRNA from 1 species